GGGGGUCUAGCUCAAAUGGUAGAGCGAUUGCUUCGCAUGUAAUAGGUACUGGGAUCGAUACCCAGGUCCUCCA